rnacentral:rRNA from 1 species
GACGAACGCUGGCGGCGUGCUUAACACAUGCAAGUCGAACGGAAAGGCCCUGCUUUUGUGGGGUGCUCGAGUGGCGAACGGGUGAGUAACACGUGAGUAACCUGCCCUUGACUUUGGGAUAACUUCAGGAAACUGGGGCUAAUACCGGCUAGGAGCUCCUGCUGCAUGGUGGGGGUUGGACAGUUUCGGCGGUUGGGGAUGGACUCGCGGCUUAUCAGCUUGUUGGUGGGGUAGUGGCUUACCAAGGCUUUGACGGGUAGCCGGCCUGAGAGGGGGACCGGGCACAUGGGGACUGAGGGACGGCCCAGACUCCAACUGGAGGCAGCGGUGGGGAAUCUUGCCCAGUGGGCGGAAGCGUGAUGCAGCAGCGCCGCGUUCGGGAAGACGGCCUUCGGGUUGUAAAACGCUUUCGCCUGUGACGAAGCGUGGGUGACGGUAAUGGGUAAAGAAGCACCGGCUAACUACGUG